CAGGUUAUGUGCCGAGCCUGAAAAAAUGUGUACAAGUGCAUGUGACUAAAAAGUAUAUAUCUCAGUGAAGUGGUUGGCGAAGCCUGAUGCAGAUAUCUUACUUUGCACCUUUGCCGUCAACCCAACACAUGCAAUAGAUGGUUGUCCACUGCAGGAGUUUGUCCUCCCAUACCAAGUGCCGUUUUCCAGAUUAGGAUUCGGCACUUAGUCAUAUUUUAUAUAAAACCUGAUACACCACAGACAGGCACCAACACAAGGAAAGAUCUUUCUGCGUGGGAGUCUCUAAUGUAUGUAAGUCUGUUUCACUCUAACUAAUUAAUAAUCUAUGAGCUAGAGCUAAAGCUUCCCUUUUGCUGGUGGUCCAUCUGACCAUAGCGCUGCUACAGCUGUCUGCAGUCCCAGCGGUCAAUGACCUUGCGAGACUGGCAAUAGCAAAACAUUUCAUUGGGUGACCGCCAUCAGCUGAUCCUCAUUUUUACUUGCAUCUAGUGAUUGCCUAUAUUCGGUGUGAUGACCUAACAUUGCAUUUCUAAAUGAACCAAAACUAGUUCAUUUUAGC